GCUAGUUGGAAAGUCAGGAAAGCUUGGAUAGAAGAUCCACUUUUGAUACAUACUGGCUGGGUGCCCUUGGGCGGAUCACUAACCUCACUGCCCCAGAGCUAUGGGGAUGAAUAAGAUCACAGAACCACAAAUGCAAGAGAAUGAAAGCAUUGGAGAGAUCAUCUAUUGAACAUCUUUCAUUUUAUGGAUAAGGAAAUGAAGAUCCAGAGAGAGAAAAUCACGUGCCUAAGCAUACCCAGCUAUGUAGCAUUGGACCGGAAAACAGCUAAGUGAUGGCAACAGUCAUAAAUGCUUUGGGUAGCUCUGUACAUGGGAAGAAAAGACUGUUGGAUACCACAGGAAUCUUCACACUUUCUUCCUCUUCUCCCUCUCCCCCAUGGAGCAUGCAGGGACUCUGAUGCAGGAGUAGAGAAGGGGUAAGCUGAUGAAUAAAAGAUGA